rnacentral:rRNA from 1 species
AUGGUUGCAGAAUUCUCUAAGAGUUUUGAAUUGUAUAAGACAGAGGUGCUUGACCUUGUUCAGAGAUUUGAUAGUUACCUCUCUAAUGAGAAUACUGGUUCAGAAAUCCAUGAGGAGCUACAUGACAUUGUGACUGCAGCGACCAAAUUACCUAAAGCUCCAUGGGAGGUGGGUAUUUGCAAAGCAUGUGGCAUUGAUAGAGAUGAUCACAUUGUUCUCUUGUGUGAUGGCUGCGACGCGGAGUACCAUACUUAUUGCCUGAGUCCACCACUAACUCGUAUACCACGAGGAAACUGGUUCUGCCCAUCGUGCAAGUUAAAGCCAGAGAGAUCACAUCUUGACCAGGGUGCUCUGGAUUUUAAACGACAGCGAAAAGGAGCAGAGUCUCAUGCAUUUCACGGCAAACCAUCGUGCAUGUCAGCUCAAAAGAAAUCACAUCUUGACCAGGGUAUUCAGGAUUUGAAACCACAACAGAAAGGACCCUAUCAUGACAUGCUUAUUAAGUUAGCUGCAACAGUGGCACAAAAGGAGUACUGGGAGCUUAGCACACAAGAGAGAAUCGAUAUGCUGAAAUUUCUUUGUGAUGAAAUGCUCAACACAGUCCUGAUAAGAGAACAUAUAGAAAAAUGUCCAGAUAAGUUCAAUGAUCUCCAGAAGAAGUUUUAUGCUUUGAAUUUUGAAUUGAAGCAUCUGAAAGAUAAGGAGGAAAUGAGGACUUCAUAUGGUGAAAUGGAUACUUUAUCUGACCAGAUUUCAAAAGUGCAGGAGUCAAUUGGCACAGUAGAGUCAGAGCUUAAUAUGGCAACCCUGAGAAGAGAUUUUCUGGGAAAGGAUUCGUUGGGUCGACUGUACUGGGUGUUAGGACGAUUUGGUAAACGUCCUUUACUGGUCGUUGAUGGAAGCAUGCUGAUAAGCAAGGAGAGGGACCCACCAUCUACUUCUGAUUGUAAAGGAUGGAAUUCUGCAUCUGUUGUCAUUUAUGAAUCGGAUGAAGAAAUCCAUAGUCUUGUUGACUGGCUAAGGGAAUACGAUCCAUGGGAGAAGGAGCUGAAACGUGGUAUCCAGCAGUACUGGCAGCGGCAGCGGCAUCUUCAUCACCUGGGUAAUUUUGUUCUCAGUGAUCCUCCAGUAUCAUCCCAGGGGUCGUCGAACAGCAGCGAGCAGCAGCUUAUGGAACUUCCCAGUACCAAGGCUGCAGCAAUUUUGGGGAAAACAUGCCGCUGCGACUGCUUAGAGCCUAUAUGGCCUGCUCAACACCACUGCACAGCAUGUCACGAGACUUACUUCACAUCAACGGAGUAUGAAGAUCAUGCUGGAAAGUGCAAUGGACAUGUGAACAAGGACAAGGAUUCUGUUCAUCCUAGCUCCACCUCUGAGUCUGACUCCACAAAACCGAUGAAGUCAUGCCCAUAUGGCUUUGAAGUGAUUUGCAGAAAAUUUUCCACCAAUGAUUCAAGCAAGGAGAUAGUGAAGGAUAUUGGACUUAUUGGAUCAAACGGAGUUCCGUCUUUUGUCCCUUCACGUGCAGCUUUUAUUGAUCCUCCAGUCAUUCUGAAUAAAAACAAAAAGCAAGAUGACAUCCCAAAUGAUGAUUGUGUUUCCAGCUCCUUAGAGGAAUGCCAGGCAAUGUCUGUACAAAAGCUAGGGAAGGAGGGGUCCAAUUCUGCUCAAGAUUGUCCUGCAGCUAGUACUUCCUGUGAUGAAAAUGUGUCAAAAACUAAGGAGCCAGCCCCUGAUACUGACACUACUUCCUGUGAGGAAGCAGCAUCUUCUGCAACAGACAAGCCAACAAGAUUGCUGGCUGUUAACGGUGGCUUGGUUCCGGAGUCAUCAUUGAGACCUGUUACAGGAAGAAACUCCCAUAUCCUAAAGCAGCAAAAGAUCCAUUUGCUUGAUAUAGAAGCAGCGUUGCCUGAGGAAGCUUUCAGAGCCUCAAAGUCUCAACAAAUGAGAAGGCGUUCAUGGCGUUUUUUUGUGAAGCGUGCAGAAUCAAUAUCCGAGAUGGUACUGGCGACCAGCAUGUUGGAGAGAGUGAUAAGAUCCGAGUUCUUGAAGAAUGAUUGGUGGUACUGGUCCUCCUUCACAGUAGCUGUCAAGACCUCAACUGUAUCCUCACUCGCUUUCAGGAUCUACACUCUCGACGACUGUAUCAUGUACACCAAGGAGCCUAGCACCGUGCCGCCGGCUGACAGUACAAAAGUUGUGAACAAAGGGAGGAAGGGGAAAGAGCCAGAACCGUCAGCGUCGUAA